GACGAAGGGGCGGGGCUAAACGCUUCGUCCGGAUUCCUGAGCGCGAGCCGAAUUUCCUGUCCACUCGGUGUGUAGAGCCGCGCGUGAAGCGGAGCUUUUCUCUUUCCUCCAUAACCGGAGCUGCUCACAAACAAACAAACAAAGAAAAAGAUGUUCCGAAGUCUUGCAGCUGUUGUUCUGCUGGCUGCAGUUUGCUGUCAUGCACAGGAAACUCAGAGCAAGUCGAAGGUGUGUGCUAAUGUGUUCUGCGGUGCAGGGAGAGAAUGUGCAGUGACAGAGAAAGGCGAACCCAGCUGCUUGUGUAUUGAGCAAUGUAAACCUCAUAAGCGCUCUGUGUGUGGCAGUAACGGGAAAACCUACAGAAACCACUGCGAGCUUCACAGAGACGCCUGCCUUACUGGACUCAAGAUCCAGGUGGCACAUGAUGGCCACUGCAAAGAGAGGAAAACAGAGAAAGCUGCUGCCAGUCCAGUGGUCUGCUAUGUGGGUGACCGUAACGAACUGCGCAGGCGUGUGAUUGAGUGGCUGCAGACUGAAGUCGUACCAGACGGCUGGUUCACCAAAGGCUCCAACUUCACUGACCUCCUGCUCAAGUACUUCAAGAACUAUGAUAACGGCGACUCGCAGCUGGACUCGGCCGAACUUCUGCGCUUCAUCCAGCACAACGAGUCAGCGGUGGAGCUCCACUCGUACGCGGAGGACGAGAACAACCGGCUGCUCAGGAGUCUGUGUGUGGACGCAUUGAUUGAGCUCUCAGACCAGAAUGCUGACUGGAAGCUGAGCUUUGAUGAGUUCCUCAACUGCCUACGUCCAGGAUUCAACCCUCCAGAGAAGAAGUGCGCUUUGGAGGAUGAGACCUAUGAAGACGGAGCAGAGACUCAGGUGGACUGUAAUCUCUGUGUCUGCGCAUGCGGCAACUGGGUCUGCACUGCCAUGACCUGUGAUGAGAAAACCCCAGCUCUCGAACUGGCUACUGGUGAUGAGCCGAUGACAGAGGAGGAGUGGAGUCUGCGUGUGGCUGAACUCAACAAACAUCAGCAACCACUGACUGGCCACUACAUGAACUGAACACUUCAGCAGUGGUUAAUCCUAAUGGGCUCCAAAUAUUUAAAUGAUGUCCACUAUAAAUGAGGAGACUAUGGAGCAGAUGAAGUCCAGCACAAAGGAGGUUUAAAGAAGGAGCGAGGAGGAAGGGGUCACACUCGGGACUCCUGAGAUGACACACUAUUGCUGGGAGAACCGCAUCAUGUAUUGUUUUCUAUCUUUGACCUAUAUUUAUCUCUCAUUGCUUUUACUGUGUAACAUCAUUAUAAUCGUUUUAGGUUGACGUGUACUUUAUGUCUGUGGAUGUGUGUGUGUGUGUGUGUGUGUGUGUGUGUGUGUGUGUGUGUGUGUGUCACUAAGUGCUGUACAUUGUUUUUUAUAGCAUCAUGCUAAGCUUUGUCCAAGGCGCCCCAGCACUAUUUUUGUAGUUUGACUUUUUUUCUCUAUAUAUCGUUACAUUUUUUGUCACAUAUUUUAGUCAUUUUAGAUUUAGAUUUUGUUGCGUAUGAUUGAGACAAUGGCAGUAGAUGGAGGAGAAGAGUGAAGGAGGGAGAUCGGCUGGACUGACUCAGCUGUUAAACCAUGUCAGUAAAAAAAAAAAAUCAAGACUGCGAUGUACGCUGUUAUCGUUAUGAGCGUAUCAAUCCACGUGAUAAUGUAAAGCGAGAAAGCAGAUUAUGUCACAAGUGCAAUGUCAGCUAUGGUCUCCUUUCACACACUCUCUGUUUCCAUGCAGACAAGGCGGUCAUAGUCUUGAGACCUUUCAAAAAGGUGCUAAUAUGGAUUUCUAUCUUUCUAUUUUUUUUUUUCAUUUUUUUUUUUCUGCAUCAGCAUGCUCCUAGAGUACGUCUAGAUCGCUAGGUAGAAUUAGAAAACCUGUAGAUUUGUCAACGUAUAGACUUGUAUAGGCGCUCCAUGCCUCCGGGAAGCUGUGAUUCUUCAGCUGUUUCUGUGAAGAACCAGUGAUUUAAUCUCCAAAAUGGCGGGAAGACAUUCACAGCAUGGAUGCUCCACUUUGCUCCUGCUUCUAUUUAGCGGAGUUGCUUUAUGUAGAAGUAGUUUGUGUUAAAGCUUUGUUGCUGCGCUCAUUUCUGUCUGAAGGACAAAAGUGUGAAGAAUCACAAAGAGAAUGAGAAUGAGUGUUAAUGUGCUGAUUGAUGCAGAAUGAAAGAAUGAAUUGUUUGGAGCAGAAGCAGUGUAGCCCAAAAUUAAAAAAAAAAAAACCAAAGCCAGAUGUUUAGUGUUUAAAUGUUGUACAGAUCCUCCAGGUAAACCAUUACUCUGGACCCAGCAACAGCAUCAUACCUUUUAUUUCAUACGACUGUCAGAUUGAAGAUUAGACGAUUAGAUUCAGUGUCACCUCUUUAGCUUUAAUGCUUUCUUACUGCAUAUGUGUGUGUGUGGCUGCAGAGGUGUGUUUGUAUUUUCAUGUGUGUCUGAGUGAUGGAGAGUGUAUGCGCUCGCUUUCUGUUUUCUCUUUAUUCCACUAAUAUCAAGUUUUUAUGAUACUGAGUGCCUUAAAUAUACAUCCGCAGAUAGAAUGGCCUUCUCUCUUGUGUGAUCACAGGUUGUAGGAUUCCAUGCAAAACUUUGCAGUGUUAUGGUAGUCAAGCAGAAGUUGUCCUGAGUGACAGACUGAGACAGAAUUCAACCAUUUCAGUGUGAAGACUUGUUAACUUUGAAUUGUAUUUGAAUUUACUUGUAUUAUGACUCUGUACUGUACAUCAAUAAAUGAAAUACACACCACAGAUAA